UACGUAGGCAGCGAGCGUUUGUUCGGAGUUACUGGGCGUAAAGAGUGCGUAGGCGGUUUUCUAAGUUUGGUGUGAAAUCUCCCGGCUUAACUGGGAGGGUGCGCCGAAGACUGGAAGGCUUGGAGUAUGGGAGAGGUAAGGCGGAAUUCCUGGUGUAGCGGUGAAAUGCGUAGAUAUCAGGAGGAACACCUGCGGUGUAGACGGCUUACUGGGACCUAACUGACGCUGAGGCACGAAAAGCGUGGGUAGCAAACAGG
rnacentral:rRNA from 1 species